GGUUCAAAUCCACUCCUAGACACCA
rnacentral:misc_RNA from 1 species